rnacentral:lncRNA from 1 species
AUGCAGGCUCCUAAAUUCUCAUUUAUUUUUUCCUUAGAUUUAUCUGUGGCUGAUAUGAUAUGCAUUGUACCAAAUGGUACAGCUUCUAAAAACUUGAUAAAUCAAAUUAAUUACAAAGAGAAACAGACACAAAUAACUAUUCUUCAAAAUAAUUCUUGUCCAGUGCAUUAUUUUAAUACUUCUAUUAAUCAAUGUUCUACAGAAGUGUGGAUACUCCUAUUCAUUUAUGCUAUCUUACCUCUUACCUUGUAUAAGUCUGGUCUAUGUCUUUUCCCCAAUAUUAUUUUUUAAACCCUUACUUUCUGUCUUAGAAUCAAUACUAUAUAUUGGUUCCAAGGCAGAAGAGUGGUAAGAUCUAGGCAAUGGCACUAAGGUGAUUUUCCCAUGGUCAUUCAGCUAGGAAGUAUCUGAGACCAGAUUUGAAAUGAGGAUCUCCCAUCUCUAAGCCUGGCUCUCAAUUCACUGAUACCUACCCAAUAUUCUAGAAAAGAUACAUCCAAUGGUGUGAUGACCUGCCUUUAGUCCUUUUGUGGCUUGUAAGGCAGCAGUGAACCAUAAUUAGGGUCAUAGAUUUAGAGCUCAUCUUAGGAAUCACAUAAUCCAAAACUCUUAAUUUUAAAAGUUCAGAGACUUGAAAUAAGUUGCCCAAAGUCACAGAGAUAGUAAGUAGAAGACUUGAACCCAGGUCUUCUGACCUCAGAGUCAAGUCUCUUUCUACUGCCCUCUUUCCCUGUCAUAUAAAUCAUCUCUGAUGUCCUUUAUAUCUUACACACAAAUCAUCAGCAUAUAUGUGCCACAAUUUGCUGACCAUUGGACCACAUCUAUUGAGAUUUGGGUCACCUAUAGCUGUGAUAUUCUGAGGGUAUGAAGAUCCAUGAUUCCUAGGCAUGUAACUUUAUAAUGGGCAUACAGAUAUAUAAAGAAUUGUUUUGUGCGAUUUGGAGGUAGGUGGAAGGAAGCCAUCACUGACAGAGGUGGGUGAAGGGAGGUCCAAGAAGGAUUCCUGGAGAAGGUGACAUCUGAAUUGGUCUUUUAAGGAUAGAUAGGAAUUUAAGGAUGGGGAGGAUAUUCUAGGGAUAAGCAAUAGUAUGAAUAGGUAGAAAUAGACCGUGUAUUGGUGGGGUGACUCCUCCAGGAAAACACAAGGAGGAUUCCUGGAUCACGACUAACCAUGUCUCUGCUCCAAUGUUGUCUUUUCUGGAUUCACUUAAAUCCUAUGUCCUCCUUUCUAAGGCUGCUAUUCCUGGUCCUUCACUACUAUUCCAUCACUCGCCAUCUCUUUUUCAGUUAA